rnacentral:rRNA from 1 species
UACAGAGGGUGCAAGCGUUGUUCGGAAUUAUUGGGCGUAAAGGGCGCGUAGGCGGUUCGGCAAGUCUCUAGUGAAAUCUCUGGGCUCAACUCAGAGUCUGCUGGGGAAACUGCCGGGCUUGAGUGUGGGAGAGGAGAGUGGAAUUCCCGGUGUAGCGGUGAAAUGCGUAGAUAUCAAGCAGAACACCUGCGGCGAAGGCGGCCUUCUGGACGAUGACUGACGCUGAGACGCGAAAGCGUGGGGAGCAAACAGG